rnacentral:rRNA from 1 species
UUGAACGCUGGCGGCAUGCUUUACACCUGCAAGUCGAACGGUAACAGGCCGCAAGGUGCUGACGAGUGGCGAACGGGUGAGUAAUGCAUCGGAACGUGCCCAGUCGUGGGGGAUAACUACUCGAAAGAGUAGCUAAUACCGCAUACGAUCUAUGGAUGAAAGCGGGGGACCGUAAGGCCUCGCGCGAUUGGAGCGGCCGAUGUCAGAUUAGGUAGUUGGUGGGGUAAAGGCUCACCAAGCCAACGAUCUGUAGCUGGUCUGAGAGGACGACCAGCCACACUGGGACUGAGACACGGCCCAGACCCCUACGGGAGGCAGCAGUGGGGAAUUUUGGACAAUGGGCGCAAGCCUGAUCCAGCAAUGCCGCGUGCAGGAAGAAGGCCUUCGGGUUGUAAACUGCUUUUGUACGGAACGAAACGGCUCUGGUUAAUACCCGGGGCUAAUGACGGUACCGUAAGAAUAAGCACCGGCUAACUACGUG